rnacentral:rRNA from 1 species
AGCGAACGCUGGCGGCAGGCUUAACACAUGCAAGUCGAGCGGGCGUAGCAAUACGUCAGCGGCAGACGGGUGAGUAACGCGUGGGAACAUACCUUUUGGUUCGGAACAACACAGGGAAACUUGUGCUAAUACCGGAUAAGCCCUUACGGGGAAAGAUUUAUCGCCGAAAGAUCGGCCCGCGUCUGAUUAGCUAGUUGGUGAGGUAACGGCUCACCAAGGCGACGAUCAGUAGCUGGUCNGAGAGGAUGAUCAGCCACACUGGGACUGAGACACGGCCCAGACUCCUACGGGAGGCAGCAGUGGGGAAUAUUGGACAAUGGGCGCAAGCCUGAUCCAGCCAUGCCGCGUGAGUGAUGAAGGCCCUAGGGUUGUAAAGCUCUUUCGGCGGGGACGAUAAUGACGGUACCCGCAGAAGAAGCCCCGGCUAACUUCGUGCCAGCAGCCGCGGUAAC